CCGGAGGGGUCCCGCGCGCACCCCGUGAGGCUUCGGCCCAAGCGUCGCGUCCAUCAUGAGGAAUGGACGCCAUG
rnacentral:ncRNA from 1 species